GACGAACGCUGGCGGCGUGCUUAACACAUGCAAGUCGAGCGGAAAGGCCUCUUCGGGGGUACUCGAGCGGCGAACGGGUGAGUAACACGUGAGUAAUCUGCCCUUCACUCUGGGAUAGCCACCGGAAACGGUGAUUAAUACCGGAUACGACACGUCCAGGCAUCUGGUGCGUGUGGAAACUUUUUGGGUGGGGGAUGUGCUCGCGGCCUAUCAGCUUGUUGGUGGGGUAAUGGCCUACCAAGGCUUCGACGGGUAGCCGGCCUGAGAGGGUGACCGGCCACACUGGGACUGAGACACGGCCCAGACUCCUACGGGAGGCAGCAGUGGGGAAUAUUGGACAAUGGGCGGAAGCCUGAUCCAGCAACGCCGCGUGAGGGAUGACGGCCUUCGGGUUGUAAACCUCUUUCAGCACCGACGAAGCGAUCCUUUGGGGAGUGACGGUAGGUGCAGAAGAAGGACCGGCCAACUACGUGCCAGCCGCCGCGGUAAAAC
rnacentral:rRNA from 1 species